ensembl:lncRNA
GUCUCUCGCACGUGCAGACAAAGGGGACUAAACAACACAAAGCUGUGCGCGCCCCUUCAAACUUUUUCACCACAUACGACGUCGCGGGCAAAAUCGUGGAUGCCAAGACGGUGAGCACGGGGAACGAAGGGGGUCCGGGAGGUCGUGACCUUAAUUUUCUCCCGGAGACUGGGUUUAAUUAAGAAGGGUGGAGGUGAAGGGAGGGUGUGUACGCGGGGGGGAGGGGUACCUCCACCAGCUCCUCCUCUUCCUCCACAACUUCCACCUCCACCGUACUCUUCACUCAACUCCAAGACACGCCUCCGAGACCAAGACUGUCUGCUCUAGCCGAGCUCCCCCAGCCGCCCACUCCAGAGUCAACGUUGGGAGAGGACCACCUUGUAGGGAUUUUCCUCUUCAGCAGAUGAGUGCUGACCAUCACAAAGGGAAUAUGGACUACAACCUACAUCCUGAUGACGUCGCUUUGACCUUCGUUACACUGGCUCCUUCUGACCCCCAUGAACAGGACAUGCAUCCAACUUGAUCUACUUCAGAUCUAUUUGAAGUCCUUUCACUUAUAGACGAUAAGUGAACGAUUAUUUGAGCUUCUAUAAGAGUACACAAGCUCGUAUCACAGUAUAAAUUUGCUUCUUGUGUCAAAGUACUUGGCUCCCUGAAUGGUCAUGUGAUCCACUUGUGUUCCUGGAGUAUGCAAAUGAAAUUCCUUCGAGCUGAUUCGAUAUGGAAGUUUUGGUGAUGGUCAUCUCUCGACACACACACAGGCUAUCACAGGGAAGUGGGGAGGAAUUAAACUAUCCAAUUAGAGACCGGGGUUGAUGAUUAGGGGGCCAUGUGGGUUCAAGAGCGGGGUUAAGUUCCUAACAAGCUGGUCAUGAGGGCUUGCCCUGUUGUUGGCCUUGACUUGGACAGUCUGGAGGAGAGUGGCCACCGGUUCCAUGAGAGGAGGACAGCCCUUCACAUACUCCUCCUCCUCUCUUGGAAGGAUGAGGAGGAGCAGCUGCAGCCAACAGACUCAUCCCACCAGGGGGCAAGAUAGAAACAUCUUGGGGGGGCCCCGCUGUAUCGGCAGGCUGUUCGUCGGGACUGACCGCAGCACCAGCCAUCGACGACCCAUUAGGAAAAUUGAAGAUUUACGUUUGGCUUAAAAUAUUGCAGCUCGGAAUGUUCCACGGCAUAAUUCUGAAAAUUAGUGUAUUUCUAUGUUUAUGUAUGAGUGCUUAUGUGAGUGCUUAGUAUUCAAACUAAGCAACAAAGUACAUGGAAUACAUUUGUAUGAAUUAUUGAAUAAAAGAAGCACAAAAGCAGUAUAUAUCUAUAGACAUGUGGGGUGUGAUGUACAUUAUGUAAAGUUAAAGUAUAAUAUGGGAUCCAAUCAAACAAUCACUGCUUAGUUUUAUUUUAUGUUUUUUUAACAUGUGGGGUACUCUAGCAAAGAAUAUCAUUGCUACUAGUGUGCCGACUAGGUCAUCCCAAAUAUCGGUUGAAUUGGGGACUAAGGCCCCG